rnacentral:lncRNA from 1 species
ACUUCACGUCAUUACAUGUCAUUUUAAGUCAAUUCGAGUAAUAUUAGAGCACUUUUGGUUGCUUUUGAGCUCAUAACGAAGGAAGAAUACCAUCAAGUUAAAGCUACUUGUUAGUCAAGGAAUUUGAAGGAAACAAGGGUAAAUGCUAUGACUAGCGCAUGAUACCUGAAGAAAUGGUGCACAAGGCGCAAGAAAGCCAUGAAUCAGAGUGGCAAUUCUGCCAAUUUCGCAC